rnacentral:rRNA from 1 species
UAACGAAUCUUCCGCAAUGCACGAAAGUGUGACGGAGCGACGCCGCGUGGAGGACGAAGUUCUUCGGAAUGUAAACUCCUGUCAGGGGAAAGAAAGUUCUGAUCUACCCCAGAGGAAGAGGCGGCUAACUCUGUGCCAGCAGCCGCGGUAAUACAGAGGCCUCGAGCGUUAGACGGAAUCACUGGGCUUAAAGCGUGUGUGGGCGGAAGGGUAAGUACCUUGUGAAAUCCCACGGCUUAACCGUGGAACGGCUUGGUAUACUGCUUUUCUUGAGCAAUCUAGGGGCGAGUGGAACAGAUGGUGGAGCGGUGAAAUGCGUAGAUAUCAUCUGGAACGCCAAUGGUGAAGACAACUCGCUGGGGAUUUGCUGACGCUGAGACACGAAAGCCAGGGGAGCGAACGGGAUUAGAUACCCGGGUAGUCCCUGAGCGGGCUGGCAAGGCGCAU